GCCGGGGUGGCCGAGCCAGGUCCAAGGCGCAGGACUUGAGAUUGAAAGACAAGUAAUCCUGUCCCCGCAAGGGGGCCCGGGUUCAAAUCCCGGCCCCGGCA
rfam:Vulcanisaeta sp. JCHS_4 scf1118686606254, whole genome shotgun sequence.